GCCACCUCUGAGACCCGGCAUGUUGUGUCCAAUAGGAAAGCGCGAGGUGCAGGCCUAGAGUUUCGCGCAGGGGUCCUGCCAAGCGUUAAUAUUUUAUACAUCGACGGAAUGUUUGAGUGAGAGGUAAUCCAACUCCGACGCGGAAUGCAGGGCGGCCACGAGUGGGCGAAGGGCAAGGCUGGGCCCAAACCGUCGGCCUCUGCGCUACUCGUGGGUCGACUGCACAAAGGUGGUCGCGCCGAGCAGGUCAAGUACUAUUCAGGAGCAAAACAUCCACAUGAUCCAAUAUCCGUGAUCUUCUGAUAUGUCCUGACUGAGAUACCAAUGGAUCUUUAGUGAAGGACUUUGAUAAAGACUUUUGUAUUCAACCCCCCAAAGUGAAUCAUGGAUCUGGGUUACCCAUGGACUGUGGAUGUUGUUAUGUCACCAACCAACCGAAGAGACUGUGGUCAUGCACAGAAGAUGGAGCUGUGGUUCUGACGGGGUACUUAUCUGCUAGGGGUGGCAAGACAAAUUCCAGCAUCAGGGUCUUUUCCAGUGAGUCAACUCUUCGCAUCAGGUGGCCGAAGUACUGGAAUUUCAGCUUCAGCAUCAGUCCUUCCAAUGAACACCCAGGACUGAUCUCCUUUAGGUUGGACUGGUUGGAUCUCCUUGCAGCCCAAGGGACUCUCAAGAGUCUUCUCCAACACCACAGUUCAAAAGCAUCAAUUCUUCGGCGCUCAGCUUUCUUCGCAGUCCAACUCUCACAUCCAUACAUGACUACUGGAAAAACCAUAGCCUUGAACAGACAGACCUUUGUCGGCAAAGUCAUGUCUCUGCUUUUUAAUAUGCUAUCUAGGUUGGUCAAUAUACAGUAUACUUAUAUAUAAAAUAGUAAAACUUCACUUAGAUGCAUCAAUAAAGACAUAAGUAAAGGGACAGUCCAUGUUCCUGAAUAAGAAGACUCAAAAUGCUAAAGAUGUCAAAUACCCCAGAUUGAUCAUGCUCAUAAAUGUUAACCUUUACAUACACUAUGCUCUAAAAAUACUAUGGAAAAAAUUGCUUUUUAUUUAAGCAGAAGGAUAUAUUACAUGCUCUUCUAGCUUCUUUGUCUAUGCCCUAAAAUAUUUUACUUCCAUCCAGGUGUAAUAAUGGGAAUGGAAAAUAGAACAAUGCAAGUUCUAUACUGAUGUGGAGAGAAUAUUAAAGUUGAUUAUAAACAAUGAAAAAAUAUCAUGAGAUAAUAGUCAUUGGAAGAUUAAUACUGAAAACUAUAAUAAACUGCCUUAUAAGGCUUUGUGCUU